GAUAGAGGGUGCAAACGUUGUUCGGAAUUACUGGGCGUAAAGCGCGUGUAGGCGGCCCUGCAAGUCGGAUGUGAAAUCCCACGGCUCAACCGUGGAAGUGCAUUCGAAACUGCAGGGCUAGAGUCCUGGAGAGGAAGGUGGAAUGCUUGGUGUAGAGGUGAAAUUCGUAGAUAUCAAGCGGAACACCGGUGGCGAAGGCGGCUCACUGGCCCGAUACUGACGCUGAGGUGCGAAAGCGUGGGGAGCAAACAGG
rnacentral:rRNA from 1 species